UACGUAGGGUGCGAGCGUUAAUCGGAAUUACUGGGCGUAAAGCGUGCGCAGGCGGCUUUGCAAGACAGAUGUGAAAUCCCCGGGCUCAACCUGGGAACUGCAUCUGUGACUGCAUCGCUGGAGUACGGUAGAGGGGGAUGGAAUUCCGCGUGUAGCAGUGAAAUGCGUAGAUAUGCGGAGGAACACCGAUGGCGAAGGCAAUCCCCUGGGCCUGCACUGGACGCUCAUGCACGAAAGCGUGGGGAGCAAACAGG
rnacentral:rRNA from 1 species